UGAACUACAAAGUAGGAAUACACCUUAGUUCAUUUGCCAAAUCAAAGCAUUCAUUUUAAGCAACUUGUAAUCAAGGCUAAUCAAUGUUUACGGAGCAUGAAAUAAGGCGUGACAACUUAUUUCAUCGAGUGGCAGUUUUCUAUUGAUUAGUGUAUUUUGCAAGGUUUGAAAAUCACUUUUUCACGCUAGGGGACUGGGGGG
rnacentral:lncRNA from 1 species